AUGAACGCUGGCGGCGUGCCUAAUACAUGCAAGUCGAGCGAACAGACGAGGAGCUUGCUCCUCUGACGUUAGCGGCGGACGGGUGAGUAACACGUGGAUAACCUACCAAUAAGACUGGGAUAACUUCGGGAAACCGGAGCUAAUACCGGAUAAUAUAUUGAACCGCAUGGUUCAAUAGUGAAAGACGGUUUUGCUGUCACUUAUAGAUGGAUCCGCGCCGCAUUAGCUAGUUGGUAAGGUAACGGCUUACCAAGGCAACGAUGCGUAGCCGACCUGAGAGGGUGAUCGGCCACACUGGAACUGAGACACGGUCCAGACUCCUACGGGAGGCAGCAGUAGGGAAUCUUCCGCAAUGGGCGAAAGCCUGACGGAGCAACGCCGCGUGAGUGAUGAAGGUCUUCGGAUCGUAAAACUCUGUUAUUAGGGAAGAACAAAUGUGUAAGUAACUAUGCACGUCUUGACGGUACCUAAUCAGAAAGCCACGGCUAACUACGUG
rnacentral:rRNA from 1 species